AGUCCGGAGCGCGGCGGCUCUCCUCUCCGAGCGGGGCGUCUUUCACGUUUGGCCCCGUGGAAGGCGGGGGGAACGACCACGACGCCGGAACCUCCCGCUCGGGGCUCGGCAAGCGCAUGCGCGUUCCUCCGCCCGCAACCUCAGCUGGCAGGAGGAAGAGCGGAGGGGGUGGAGCCACGGACCCUUCGCCCAAUCAGGAGGCGCCCAGUCGCUCGAAGUCCGGCCCCCUCCGUCUCUCCGCCCGCAGCGCGUGAGGUGGCGGCGGCGGCGGCGGCGGCGGCGGGCAGGGGGCGUUUCGAGGGCUCGCGGGAGGAGGUCGCCCAGUCGCCGCCUCCCUCGCCCUCCUUCUCGUCAUCGGCGGCCACAAUGUCCGAAGGCGACGCCAAGCAGGCCACCGGCAGCGGCGGCGGCGGCGGCGUCCCCCCCCCUUCCGCUCCCCGAUGCCGCAGCGUCCCGGACCGGGGCUUGGCCUCCCUUCCUUUCUUCAAGGCUUCUUGGCUGCCCCAGGGUUCCGUGAGCCAGAAGGAGGAGGCGGAACCACCUGGCUCUAGUCCAGGAAAAGAGGAGGGCGGCAGCUAA
rnacentral:lncRNA from 1 species